AUGCAAGUCGAGCGAUGAAGCUUCCUUCGGGAAGUGGAUUAGCGGCGGACGGGUGAGUAACACGUGGGUAACCUGCCUCAAAGUGGGGGAUAGCCUUCCGAAAGGAAGAUUAAUACCGCAUAACAUAAGAGAAUCGCAUGAUUUUCUUAUCAAAGAUUUAUUGCUUUGAGAUGGACCCGCGGCGCAUUAGCUAGUUGGUAAGGUAACGGCUUACCAAGGCAACGAUGCGUAGCCGACCUGAGAGGGUGAUCGGCCACAUUGGAACUGAGACACGGUCCAGACUCCUACGGGAGGCAGCAGUGGGGAAUAUUGCGCAAUGGGGGAAACCCUGACGCAGCAACGCCGCGUGGGUGAUGAAGGUCUUCGGAUUGUAAAGCCCUGUUUUCUGGGACGAUAAUGACGGUACCAGAGGAGGAAGCCACGGCUAACUACGUGCCAGCAGCCGCGGUAAUACGUAGGUGGCGAGCGUUGUCCGGAUUUACUGGGCGUAAAGGGUGCGUAGGCGGAUGUUUAAGUGGGAUGUGAAAUCCCCGGGCUUAACCUGGGGGCUGCAUUCCAAACUGGAUAUCUAGAGUGCAGGAGAGGAAAGCGGAAUUCCUAGUGUAGCGGUGAAAUGCGUAGAGAUUAGGAAGAACACCAGUGGCGAAGGCGGCUUUCUGGACUGUAACUGACGCUGAGGCACGAAAGCGUGGGUAGCAAACAGGAUUAGAUACCCUGGUAGUCCACGCCGUAAACGAUGGAUACUAGGUGUAGGGGGUAUCAACUCCCCCUGUGCCGCAGUUAACACAAUAAGUAUCCCGCCUGGGGAGUACGGUCGCAAGAUUAAAACUCAA
rnacentral:rRNA from 1 species